rnacentral:tRNA from 1 species
GGGAAUAGCUCAGUUGGUAGAGCGUCAGCCUUCCAAGCUGAGGGUCGCGGGUUCGAGUCCCGUUUCCC